GCUCGGAUAGCUCAGUUGGUAGAGAAUGCCGGCUGUUCAUCUCAGGGUCGUGGGUUCAAGCCCCACGUUGGGCA